CCUUGAAAUACCACCCUUUAAUGUUUGAUGUUCUAACGUUGGCCCCUGAUCGGGGUUGCGGACAGUGUCUGGUGGGUAGUUUGACUGGGGCGGUCUCCUCCUAAAGAGUAACGGAGGAGCACGAAGGUUGGCUAAUCCUGGUCGGACAUCAGGAGGUUAGUGCAAUGGCAUAAGCCAGCUUGACUGCGAGCGUGACGGCGCGAGCAGGUGCGAAAGCAGGUCAUAGUGAUCCGGUGGUUCUGAAUGGAAGGGCCAUCGCUCAACGGAUAAAAGGUACUCCGGGGAUAACAGGCUGAUACCGCCCAAGAGUUCAUAUCGACGGCGGUGUUUGGCACCUCGAUGUCGGCUCAUCACAUCCUGGGGCUGAAGUAGGUCCCAAGGGUAUGGCUGUUCGCCAUUUAAAGUGGUACGCGAGCUGGGUUUAGAACGUCGUGAGACAGUUCGGUCCCUAUCUGCCGUGGGCGCUGGAGAACUGAGGGGGGCUGCUCCUAGUACGAGAGGACCGGAGUGGACGCAUCACUGGUGUUCGGGUUGUCAUGCCAAUGGCACUGCCCGGUAGCUAAAUGCGGAAGAGAUAAGUGCUGAAAGCAUCUAAGCAC
rnacentral:rRNA from 1 species